UACGUAGGGCGCAAGCGUUGUCCGGAAUUAUUGGGCGUAAAGAGCUCGUAGGCGGCCUGUUGCGUCCGCUGUGAAAUCCCGGGGCUUAACCCCGGGCGUGCAGUGGAUACGGGCCGGCUGGAGGCAGGCAGGGGAGAAUGGAAUUCCCGGUGUAGCGGUGAAAUGCGCAGAUAUCGGGAGGAACACCGGUGGCGAAGGCGGUUCUCUGGGCCUGUACUGACGCUGAGGAGCGAAAGCGUGGGGAGCAAACAGG
rnacentral:rRNA from 1 species